GACGAACGCUGGCGGCGUGCUUAACACAUGCAAGUCGAACGGAAAGGCCCUUCGGGGUACUCGAGUGGCGAACGGGUGAGUAACACGUGGGUGAUCUGCCCUGCACUUUGGGAUAAGCCUGGGAAACUGGGUCUAAUACCGAAUAGGACCACGCGCUUCAUGGUGUGUGGUGGAAAGCUUUUGCGGUGUGGGAUGGGCCCGCGGCCUAUCAGCUUGUUGGUGGGGUAAUGGCCUACCAAGGCGACGACGGGUAGCCGGCCUGAGAGGGUGACCGGCCACACUGGGACUGAGAUACGGCCCAGACUCCUACGGGAGGCAGCAGUGGGGAAUAUUGCACAAUGGGCGCAAGCCUGAUGCAGCGACGCCGCGGGAGGGAUGACGGCCUUCGGGUUGUAAACCUCUUUCAAUAGGGACGAAGCGCAAGUGACGGUACCUAUAGAAGAAGCACCGGCCAACUACGUG
rnacentral:rRNA from 1 species